rnacentral:rRNA from 1 species
GACGAACCGUGCGAACGUUGUUCGGAAUCACUGGGCUUAAAGGGCGCGUAGGCGGGCUAUCAAGUCUGGGGUGAAAUGCCACGGCUCAACCGUGGAACUGCCUCAGAUACUGACGGCCUCGAGGGAGGUAGGGGCAUGCGGAACUGUAGGUGGAGCGGUGAAAUGCGUUGAUAUCUACAGGAACUCCGGUGGCGAAAGCGGCGUGCUGGACCUCUUCUGACGCUGAGGCGCGAAAGCUAGGGGAGCAAACGGG